GGAAGGAAGGAAAGGAAAGAAGAUUGAGGCAGGCGGGACCUGAUAUGGCAAGUGAACAUCAAGGCCUGCCUUGCCUCACAGGGCAGCUGGGGACCAACCCAUACGAAUCCAACAUGCGGAGGAAGCCAGAGCCGGAGCAGGAGGCAGAGACCUGAGGAUGGGCUGGAGCCUGUGUGCGGGGCUUUCUGUCACUUGCAGAGUCCUGGCUGGUACACUGAGGAGCACUAGCUUGUAUGGCAUUCUUUCCAUGAUUGGAGUUCAACGAUGGGAGACCAGGGAGAUGGAGUAGUUUGAGCUCCUGGGGAAUGAUAACAUCUGGAUCCUGAGAGGGGAGGAAAAGCAAACGCCAGCAAUGACAUAGGAUCAGAAAGGUGCUCAGCAUGGGGCUGUCUGUGGGAGGGGCCCAGGUGCUGGCACCUACGUGACUGAGGGCUUGUGGGAGGGGGAGGGAAACUGCUUUGCAACAGCAGGGGACCCAGGUGGGGUAUGUGUGGGGUAUGUCCCAGUCACCUCAGGGAAGGGGGGCAUUGAAGGGUGUGCUCAGGAUCCACCUCUUCCCCGAGUUCUCCCUUGAUGCAAGCAGCCUAGGAUCAGACUUCCUUGAAUUCUAGCUCAUCUGCCAGGGAGGCACUACUUCAGCCAGAAGACCGCCUGGAGGACUUCAUGGGGCUUCAGAACCCAGGGCACUCCUGCCACAUGUUAUCAAUGACUUUGCAGUAUUGUGAUAGUGUGUGAUACCACCCGUCAUAUGCAGUAACAAGGAGGGAGACUGACCGAACUUUGAAGGCAUCCUUCCUGUUAGAAUUUCAACUACCUCCAUAUCUAGUACAGGAGAGGGAAGUAAAUGCA
rnacentral:lncRNA from 1 species